CAUACAUGCAAGUCGAACGAGAAGCUGACUUCGGUCAGUAGAAAGUGGCGACGGGGUGAGUAAUGUGUAGAGAAUCUGCCCUAGAGUGGGGGACAACAGUUGGAAACGACUGCUAAUACCGCAUAUGAGCGUACCUGAAAUGGUAUUCUUGAAAAACUCCGGUGCUCUGGGAUGAGUCUGCAUCUGAUUAGCUAGUUGGCGGUGUAAUGGACCACCAAGGCGACGAUCAGUAGCUGGUUUGAGAGGAUGAUCAGCCACAAUGGGACUGAGACACGGCCCAUACUCCUACGGGAGGCAGCAGUAGGGAAUUUUGCGCAAUGGGGGAAACCCUGACGCCAGCAACGCCGCGUGAUUGAAUAAGCCCUUCGGGGUGUAAAGAUCUGUCAGUAGGGACGAAACUUGACGGUACCUACAGAGGAAGCAUCGGCUAACUCCGUGCCAGCCGCAGC
rnacentral:rRNA from 1 species